rnacentral:rRNA from 1 species
AUUCCAGCUCCAAUAGCGUAUAUUAAAGUUGUUGCAGUUAAAAAGCUCGUAGUUGAAUUUUGGACCUGGUUGAAUGGUCCCGCCGCAAGGUGGGUACUGUUUGAUUGGGUCUUUCUUUGCGGGGAAUUAGUGUGCUCUGAAUUGGGUGCAUUAAGGAUCCGUAACUUUUACUUUGAAAAAAUUAGAGUGUUUAAAGCAGGCUUAGGCCUGAAUACAUUAGCAUGGAAUAAUAGAAUAGGACCUGUGUUCUAUUUUGUUGGUUUCUAGGACGUAGGUAAUGAUUAAUAGGGACAGUUGGGGGCAUUAGUAUUUAAGUGUCAGAGGUGAAAUUCUUGGAUUGCUUAAAGACUAACUACUGCGAAAGCAUUUGCCAAGGAUGUUUUCAUUA